UUCGGGCAUUCAAAUGAAAUUUCAUUAUAAGUCAUAUCAUUAUUAUUUCAUAUAAUAGUACCCAUACAAUUGCAGUUUUUUUUUUUUUUUUUUCAGAAGCAAUGAACUAUUCUACACAGCAAAUUUCUGGAGUUCAAAAAUCUGUAGUUAAACAAAAAAGUGUUAAAGUGUUAGAUUUUGGGAGUUUAUUCUCUACAUUUAACUACAGCUUGUGUUCAGGGUAACUCUUUAGUGGUGUAAUAUGUAGGUGUUCAUUUAUUGGGUGUUGAGGACUGUGAGGAGCCUGAUUCAACACUACACCUGAGUUUACAGCACUUGGACUUCACCGUGACUCGAGCCAGUUGACUCGACACGGCAAGGACCGUAACGGACGCAAGAAGGGGACCCGUGAGGGAAUCACGACGAGAUGACACGUCCUGCCAUGAGCCUGGAGGAUCACCUCAUGUGAAGGAAACCCUCAGCCAUAUCUUCUGGCCACAGGAACUUCAAAAGGUCUUGGACAGAAAGCUUCUUCCAUAUCGGUCAUGCACACACUGGAAUAUAG